UGCAUCUGAAGCCUGACGAGGAUGAGAACCUCCGGGGGCAAGAGGUUCGACUCGAGCGCAGCGAGAGAACGUUGCGUCAGCAACGGCCCG
rnacentral:sRNA from 3 species